GCGAAAUGCGAUACUUGGUGUGAAUUGCAGAAUCCCGUGAACCAUCGAGUCUUUGAACGCAAGUUGCGCCCCAAGCCUUAGGGCUGAGGGCACGUCUGCCUGGGUGUCACG
rnacentral:rRNA from 1 species